AGCGAACGCUGGCGGCAGGCUUAACACAUGCAGGUCGAGCGGGCAUCCUUGUGGUGUCAGCGGCAGACGGGUGAGUAACGCGUGGGAACGUGCCCUUCGGUUCGGAAUAACUCAGGGAAACUUGAGCUAAUACCGGAUACGUGCGAGAGCAGAAAGGUUUAUCUGCCGAAGGAUCGGCCCGCGUCUGAUUAGCUAGUUGGUGAGGUUAUGGCUCACCAAGGCGACGAUCAGUAGCUGGUCUGAGAGGAUGAUCAGCCACACUGGGACUGAGACACGGCCCAGACUCCUACGGGAGGCAGCAGUGGGGAAUAUUGGACAAUGGGGGCAACCCUGAUCCAGCCAUGCCGCGUGAGUGAUGACGGCCUUAGGGUUGUAAAGCUCUUUUCUCCGGGACGAUAAUGACGGUACCGGAGGAAUAAGCCCCGGCUAACUUCGUG
rnacentral:rRNA from 1 species